rnacentral:rRNA from 1 species
UACACGCUGUGACUAGCAUAUCAAUAAGCGGAGGAAAAGUCAGGCUACCUACGCUUAGGAUGUUGACGAGACUGUCGAUCUCAUCAAUACAUGACUCUGUGCAUAUCAAUAAGCGGAGGAAAAGAAACUAACAAGGAUUCCCUUAGUAACGGCGAGUGAAGCGGGAAGAGCUCAAAUUUGAAAUCUUCAAGGUUUUACCUUGACGAAUUGUAGUUUAAAGAAGUGUUUUCUGCUGAAGUUUUGGUAAAAGUUCUUUGGAAUAGGACAUCAUAGAGGGUGAGAAUCCCGUAUUUGACCAUUAUUUUCAGCUUUGUGAUACACUUUCAAAGAGUCGGAUUGUUUGGGAAUGCAGUCCAAAAUGGGUGGUAAAUUUCUUCUAAGGCUAAAUAUUGGCGAGAGACCGAUAGCGAACAAGUACCGUGAGGGAAAGAUGAAAAGAACUUUGAAAAGAGAGUUAAAUAGUACGUGAAAUUGUCAAAAGGGAAGCGUUUAACACCAGUGUUGUUUUCUGAAAAUCAACCUCUGUUAGCUUUAUGCAUGUUUGUUUAGACCUAAUCAGCUAUCUUGCAUGUUCUAUUGUUUGCAGUGGUGCACUUUUCAGUUUACAGGUCAACAUCAGUUUUUUUACCGUAAAAAGUUAAAGAAAGGUAGCUCAUGGCUCCGGUCGUGAGUGUUAUAGUCUUUUUCCUAUGCGGUAGGAGAGACUGAGGUCUGCAGUGUAGGCUAUUUGGCUAGAUACUCAGGUGCUAUGUGAGACCAUUUCAUAAACAACUUGUUGAUUAUGUUUUGUCUAUUGCAUACUCGCUUGUACUAUCAUACCUACGCUUAGGAUGUUGAGUAGCGACAUACGCAC